AUUGAACGCUGGCGGCAGGCCUAACACAUGCAAGUCGAGCGGAUGAAGGGUGCUUGCACCCCGAUUCAGCGGCGGACGGGUGAGUAAUGCCUAGGAAUCUGCCCGAUAGUGGGGGACAACGUUUCGAAAGGAACGCUAAUACCGCAUACGUCCUACGGGAGAAAGUGGGGGCUCUUCGGACCUCACGCUAUCGGAUGAGCCUAGGUCGGAUUAGCUAGUUGGUGGGGUAACGGCUCACCAAGGCGACGAUCCGUAGCUGGUCUGAGAGGAUGAUCAGCCACACUGGAACUGAGACACGGUCCAGACUCCUACGGGAGGCAGCAGUGGGGAAUAUUGGACAAUGGGCGAAAGCCUGAUCCAGCCAUGCCGCGUGUGUGAAGAAGGUCUUCGGAUUGUAAAGCACUUUAAGUUGGGAGGAAGGGUUGUAAGCUAAUAUCUUGCAGCUUUGACGUUACCAACAGAAUAAGCACCGGCUAACUCUGUGCCAGCCGCCGCUGUAAUAC
rnacentral:rRNA from 1 species